rnacentral:tRNA from 1 species
GCGGUGUUGGUCCAGCUGGCUAAGACUCCGGCCUUCCAAGCCGGCGACCCGGGUUCAAAUCCCGGACGCCGCA